rnacentral:rRNA from 1 species
GGGAUCCGAUUUUAGCAUGGAAUAAUAAAAUAGGACGUGUGGUUCUAUUUUGUUGGUUUCUAGGACCGCCGUAAUGAUUAAUAGGGACAGUCGGGGGCAUCAGUAUUCAAUUGUCAGAGGUGAAAUUCUUGGAUUUAUUGAAGACUAACUACUGCGAAAGCAUUUGCCAAGGAUGUUUUCAUUAAUCAGGAACGAAAGUUAGGGGAUCGAAGACGAUCAGAUACCGUCGUAGUCUUAACCAUAAACUAUGCCGACUAGGGAUCGGACGGUGUUAUUUUUUGACCCGUUCGGCACCUUACGAGAAAUCAAAGUGCUUGGGCUCCAGGGGGAGUAUGGUCGCAAGGCUGAAACUUAAAGAAAUUGACGGAAGGGCACCACCAGGGGUGGAGCCUGCGGCUUAAUUUGACUCAACACGGGGAAACUCACCAGGUCCAGAAAUCUAGA